UACGAAGGGGGCUAGCGUUGCUCGGAAUCACUGGGCGUAAAGGGUGCGUAGGCGGGUCUUUAAGUCAGGGGUGAAAUCCUGGAGCUCAACUCCAGAACUGCCUUUGAUACUGAGGAUCUUGAGUUCGGGAGAGGUGAGUGGAACUGCGAGUGUAGAGGUGAAAUUCGUAGAUAUCGGGAGGAACACCAGUGGCGAAGGCGGCGAUCUGGGUUGAUACUGACGCUGAGGUGCGAAAGCGUGGGGAGCAAACAGG
rnacentral:rRNA from 1 species